GACAAAACUUUUUCACAGUGAGGGUGACAGAGCACUGGAACAGGCUGCCCAGGGAGGUUGUGGAGUCUCCUUUUCUGGAGACAUUCAAAAUGCGUCUGGGUGCAUUCCUGUGUGACAUGAUUUAGGUGUUCCUGUUCCGGCAGGGGGAUUGGACUAAAUGAUCUUUCAAGGUCCAUUCCAAUCCCUAACAUUCUGUAAUUCUGAGACCACAUUUCAGUUCUU